rnacentral:rRNA from 1 species
AUUGAACGCUGGCGGCAGGCCUAACACAUGCAAGUCGAGCGGAGCGGCGGACGGGUGAGUAAUGCCUAGGAAUCUGCCUGGUCGUGGGGGAUAACGUCCGGAACCGGGCGCUAAUAUCGCAUACUAUCAGAUGAGCCUAGGUCGGAUUAGCUAGUUGGUGGGGUAAAGGCCUACCAAGGCGACGAUCCGUCACUGGUCUGAGAGGAUGAUCAGUCAAACUGGAACGAGACAACGCUCCAGACUCCUACGGGAGGCGUCGUUGGGGAAUUUUCGACAAUGGGCGAAAGCCGGAUCCAGCCAUGCGGCGGGUGUGAAGAAGCUCUUCGGAUUGUAAAGCCCGUUAAGCUGGGAGGCGUUACCAACAGAGUAAGCACCGGCUAACUUCGUGCCAGCAGCCGCGGUAAUAC